ensembl:lincRNA
UCAGAAUCCAGUGUGAGGAGACUCCUGGUUCUUGAUUAGCUCCUCCAUUUCCGCUCCUGUAACUCCUAGAGGUGCUGCGAGAGGCUCGCAGGGUCCUGCCUGCUGUGUCACCUGGGCAGCCCCCUGAGACACGAGCUCUCUGCAGAGGGCCCGCCCUCUGUUAGGGGCCUGAUGAGUUUUGUGGGGGCUUUGGCAGCACCCGGGACUGAACCCAGGCAGGCCUUUCCGACUGAGCUACAUCCCUGUCCCUUCCCAGGUUCGAGACGGUCUUGCUCAGUUGUCCAGGCUAGGCUGCCAUUUGCUAUCCUCCUGCCUCAGCCUCCCAGAGUGCUGGGAAUAUGAAUAUGUGCCAAAGCCCAGCCUGAUACUUCAUGUGAAUGCCUAGGUGAGCCCAUGUGCUCCUCCCGUCUACGUUGUAAGACACAGCUUUUGUGGGCGCCUCUUUGCUCUUGUCUGGGUGGAACUGCAAACAGGACAAGGAAGGGAUCCUUGUGGUGUAAGGCCCUUGCCACUGCUCUAGGGCUCUGAUCCCAGGCCACCCCUCUCAGGGAAAGGACCGGGUAGGCAGGUGGGCAGGCCCUGCUCUGGCAUGGUCACAUCAGUGCAGGUCCUCCUGGGUGCCACCUCUGCUCUGCCAGGCUCUGGGCAGGGUGGACUGUACUUCAUCAGUCCCCUUCCCAGUCAGGCAGGGAGCUGGAGCCAGAGCAGGAGGACCACACCGCCUCCCCUUCUCUGCCCUGCACCUGUUUGGGGUAGGGGGGGCAGGUGCUGGCGGACAGACUGACGCUCCACACACAUCUGCUCCUGUUUCGCUGUGCUCUCCAGUCUGUCACAAGCCCAGGAUAGGAACCAUGCCAGGAGCCAGACAGGAUGCUUCCCACUUCUCACCUGCUUGGCCUCGGUCUGCUCUGGCUGACAGGAGGGGCCUGAGGGGAGGCAGGGAGAUGCUAACCCCGUCCAGCUGUCCCCACCUACCCAGCUGUCCCUGGCUUUGUUGAAGCAGCUGUCACCCACCUUCCAAAAAAGUCUGUCAGAGGAGGCCCAAGAGGAGUUGGGGCUGCUCCCCGGCCCUCCCCUGCCAGAAUGGCCCCUGCUCGUCCCCUUCCAGGCAGGGCUGGUGCCCACAGUGUCCCCAUCCCACGGCCCAGAUGUGCGAGCCGCGGGAGAGGAGGCCUUGGCUGAGCCAGCGGUCCCAGGUCGCAGCUGGGGGGGGGCAACCCAGCGUCCAGAGGAAAGGGACCGUCGGUGGGCGGGACGCGGGAGACUGCACCGCCCUCCGUCCUGGGCCGGCCUGUACCCUACUUCCGGGCUGUCAGGGCCAGGCCCGCUCACACCCACGACCACGCACCCACGCACGCAGACCCUGUCCCUGCCAGGGCGCACACCCGGCGCGGCCUACUUUAUGGGGUGUGCAUCGGCAGGGGAGGGCGUCGGACCCCUGGGCCCUGCCGUGAAGGUCGGGGGAGGAACUGCGAUCCUGGGCAGCACUGAGCGGACCCACAGGAGGAACCCAGAGCGAGCUCCCAGGUGGCCCCUGCACUUCCUGUGCCCCCAGCAGCUGUGGAACCUGAGCGGCGGACACAACAGAGGUCAGCUGACACGGCCACCUGGACACCGAUUCCGUAAAGGCAUAGGAUCUGGCGGGCGCCUACACUCCCAGCGACUCGGACUCCGCAGGUGCCUUCAGGGCCCUUGUGCCAGGAGGCUGGCAGUGGCAGGGUGGGGGCUGCCGCUGAGGGCGAGGGCCACCAAGCUCUGCCGUCCCGACUGGUCAGCGGUGCUUUCGGAAAAGCUGAGGCCAAUUCUAAAACCAUUUCAUGAAAAGGAUAAAUGUAAAGAGAAGCAUGUCUAA